UACGGAGGGUGCGAGCGUUAUCCGGAAUCACUGGGUUUAAAGGGUGCGUAGGCGGUCUGAUAAGUCAGUUGUGAAAUUCCCCGGCUUAACCGGGUGGACUGCGAUUGAUACUGUUGGACUUGAAUCAGGUUGAGGUAGGCGGAAUGUGACAUGUAGCGGUGAAAUGCUUAGAUAUGUCAUAGAACACCGAUUGCGAAGGCAGCUUGCUAGACCUGGAUUGACGCUGAGGCACGAAAGCGUGGGGAGCAAACAGG
rnacentral:rRNA from 1 species